AUACCUUUCUCGGCCUUUUGGCUAAGAUCAAGUGUAGUAUCUGUUCUUAUCAGUUUAAUAUCUGAUACGUGGGCCAUCGGCCCACAUGAUAUUAAAUUUAUUUUUUUAGGGGGAGGGCCCACCACAGUAGCUUGCUACUGAGGCUUUCACGCGUCGCCCAAGCGUUGCACUACAGCUCGGGCCUGGCGCACCCCAC
rnacentral:snRNA from 1 species